GGCACCUGUACACGUUGCGGUGCAACGAUGACUAGAGA
rfam:Sporomusa sp. An4 isolate Sporomusa ovata strain An4 genome assembly, contig: SPAN4DRAFT_scaffold-2